rnacentral:lncRNA from 1 species
GGAUUUCUAAGCUCCUAUCUUGGAAUAAUUUGGGUUCUCCUAUAAAAUGUCUAGCUAUGUGGUAUAGGAGAGUGGCACAAGCGUCUUCUUUUGCAACUUGCUCUAGAACCUCUUGGCCAUUUUCAUUCUUGACUACAGUUUCAAUGGCUGUGGCUCCAUAGAUAAGGUUUUUGAUGUCAUCGGUGAAGUAGUUAUCCCACCAAUGUUUUAUCAUACCAGUGAAACCUGAUACAAUCAUGGUGGCUGCUUUUUUAUCAGUGGCUCCUCUGAUUUUGUAAGCCGUGAUAGACACGCCCAUUUCAUGGAGCUUGUUAUAGAUUUGGUGUUCAGCCAAACUGUCAACAUUCCAUUCAGUUAUUCCUCUGCCACCAUGGUUGAAGGUUGAGAGGUAGGGAUUCUCCUCGAAUAGAAUAUCUGGAGGAGAUGGUUUUUUGUAAUAGUUUUUCUUAGUGGAAAAACGAUCACUGGUGAGUUUAGAAAGAGAGUUCUUCUGGUUGCUGGACUCUGCUUUCUCAGAGAUUUUAAACUUGGAAAGCUUGUCGUUGAUUUGUUCCAAGAUUUUUCCCGAUACUUUGAAGUCAUCGCUGAGAUUAGGGAACUUUUCCUUCUGG